GCCGUCUGUACAAUUCAUCUCAUCCAUUUAUUCAAAACAACUUAAAAUGCACGCCGCCCAGAGAGAGCGUUAUUCGCUUUGGGUACAUGUCAUAAUCUAUUCAUUUCUGCCUCGUUCGAUCUAUGAAUCUUUUCGAGACCUUUUCUCUGAAUCUUUUCUGAAAGCCGACAUGAAUCUUUUGCAUUCUAAGUCUCUGUCAUCCACUCUGAGGUUUAAAUCCCCUGAACGAAUAUAUUCCAGAGAAAUCUCCUCUCGUUUAUUCUCCAUCAGGUGUUGUUUGCCUUUCCCAAGAGAGAAAGCCAAGCAUUACAGAGAGCUUGAGGUGGCGAUAGAUGUUGUGCAGAGCGCCUGCCGUAUAUGUAUUGAUGUAAAGAAGUCUCUUUCUUUGAAUGAUGGCCGAAUCGUUGAGAAAAAUGAUCAAACGCCAGUGACAAUUGCUGAUUUCAGUGUGCAGGCUUUGAUUAGCUUGGAGCUAAACAGAUCGUUUCCUUCAAUCCCUUUGGUGGCUGAGGAAGAUUCCACUUUCUUAAGAUCAAGUUUGACAAAUUCAAUUGAAGAUAAGGAUUACGCGUCUAGUUUCCUUGUGGACUCAGUGUUAGCUGCUGUAAUCGGUAAAGCGAGCAUUGAGAGUAAGCCUUUGAGUCAAGAGGAUGUUUUGAAUGCUAUUGACAGAGGGGGAAGUGGUGCUCAUACUUUUGAUGCUAAACCUUCCACAUAUUGGGUACUUGAUCCCAUUGAUGGAACCCGUGGGUUUUUAAAGGGUAGAAAGGCAUUGUAUGUGGUUGGCUUGGCUCUUGUUGUUGAAGGGGAGAUUGCUGUUGGUGUUUUGGGCUGCCCAAACUGGAAGGAAGAAUCUGUUUCUGUUCAAGGAUUGUGUUCUGAAGAUAAGAUACCAAAUAUUUCAGAAUGUCAUGCUAAUCAAGCAGGAAUACUUAUGGUUUCUCAUGUUGGCUGUGGAACAUGGACAAGGAGGUUAUCAAGUAUGUUGGGAAACAUGGACUUCCUUGUGAUACAUGAUGGUUGGACGAGGUGCUCUGUUGACCCCUGUGCUUUUGUUUACGAGGCUCGGUUUUGUAUUCCUGAUAGCCAAACUUGGGAAUCAUUGCCAUUGUCAACCAUUUAUAGUUCAACAACUGAUAUGGGGAGCAGCAUUAAAGACAAAACAAAACUUGUUCUUAAGUCUGUAUGUUGUGGAAGAUGGUUACUUGACUCAUGUCGCUUUUGCCAAUUGGUACGGGAGUAAAUUAUGGGAUUCUGCAAGCCCGCAAAUCAUCAGGAGUUUUGGAUACUGUAGAAUGUUAAUCUUCACAUCUCCGCAUAGUUGAACAGCCCCGAAUCAAGGUUUGUGUAGCUAUUGGCAUCUCCAUAUACUCACACACAUGCAUGUGUGUAUAUUGUCCAUAUUUGAGUUCUGCUUGCCUAAGUACUUCAGAGUUGGUGAAUUGUGGUAAGAUCCAAUGAGUUAUCUCAUUUUACUCUAUUGUUUAGUGAAAUUUUAGAGGGCCAAAGGCAAUCAAUGGGCCUAAGGUCCAAAUCAUCUACAAAGUUUACGGUUUUAUGGGGAUCUCACUGUUGAUACACCUCGCAGGCACCAAACCAUUCUAAGAGUAAUGACCAGCAGUACCAUGACAAAGUGGACUGUGAAAGCUUCUCAAAUGCAUCUGAUUUUGUCCAAUUCUAUUAUUAGAGUGAAAAGUUGUGGUCUUCUUGUACUUUCAAAAUUAAAAAUGUGUAGCUUGAAGUAGCUUUCACCAUGAAAAACACCAUACUCAGCAAGAAGCUGCCCAAUGUGCAAAUUCUUUGCUGUUAUGUUAGGCAAGACCCAUGUAGGGAUGGAAGACACCACCUCUAUGCAUGAUGGACCUCGUGAGUAAUUUUGAGCUGCACAGAGUUAGGAGUUUGAACUAGUAUGAAUUUGUAUAUUCAAAGCUCUGGCUUUCUUGGUGAGUAGCCUUUCUUGCAUAAGAUGAUUUCUGCAGGUUAUUGGUUCUUAGAAACUCUUUGGGAUCUUUUUUAUUUUAUUUUUAUUUUUAGUAGUGAUUGGUAUAUUAUACAUUUAUGCACCAUUGGUGUAAAUGUAUUUACUUUUUAUUUCUAAUGAUCAUCCUUAAUUUAUGUUGGCAUUGUCUCUCUAUUUGCAGCUUAUGUAAGUAUCUAAUGGUUGCAAUGGGUAUGGCUUCUGUUUUCAUUCUUCGUGCCAGGAUGAAAACUGUUAUAAAGGUUUGGGAUCAUGUUGCUGG